rnacentral:rRNA from 1 species
UUAAGUGACUAAGCGUACACGGUGGAUGCCUGGGCAGUCAGAGGCGAUGAAGGACGUACUAACUUGCGAUAAGCGCAGAUAAGGCAGUAAGAGCCGUUUGAGUCUGCGAUUUCCGAAUGGGGAAACCCAACUGCAUAAGCAGUUACUGUUAACUGAAUACAUAGGUUAACAGAGCAAACCGGGGGAACUGAAACAUCUAAGUACCCCGAGGAGAAGAAAUCAACCGAGAUUCCGGUAGUAGCGGCGAGCGAACCUGGAUUAGCCCUUAAGCACUCGGUGAAGUAGGUGAACAAGCUGGAAAGCUUGGCGAUACAGGGUGAUAGCCCCGUAACCGACGCUUCAUCGAGCGUGAAAUCGAGUAGGGCGGGACACGUGAUAUCCUGUCUGAAUAUGGGGGGACCAUCCUCCAAGGCUAAAUACUCCUGACUGACCGAUAGUGAACCAGUACCGUGAGGGAAAGGCGAAAAGAACCCCUGUGAGGGGAGUGAAAUAGAACCUGAAACCGUGUACGUACAAGCAGUAGGAGCACCUUCGUGGUGUGACUGCGUACCUUUUGUAUAAUGGGUCAGCGACUUAUAUUCAGUGGCAAGGUUAACCGUAUAGGGGAGCCGUAGCGAAAGCGAGUCUUAACUGGGCGCUCAGUCUCUGGAUAUAGACCCGAAACCGGGUGAUCUAGCCAUGGGCAGGUUGAAGGUUGAGUAACAUCAACUGGAGGACCGAACCGACUAAUGUUGAAAAAUUAGCGGAUGACUUGUGGCUAGGGGUGAAAGGCCAAUCAAACUCGGAGAUAGCUGGUUCUCCCCGAAAGCUAUUUAGGUAGCGCCUCGGACGAAUACUACUGGGGGUAGAGCACUGUUAAGGCUAGGGGGUCAUCCCGACUUACCAACCCUUUGCAAACUCCGAAUACCAGUAAGUACUAUCCGGGAGACACACGGCGGGUGCUAACGUCCGUCGUGGAGAGGGAAACAACCCAGACCGCCAGCUAAGGUCCCAAAGUAUUGCUAAGUGGGAAACGAUGUGGGAAGGCUCAGACAGCUAGGAUGUUGGCUUAGAAGCAGCCAUCAUUUAAAGAAAGCGUAAUAGCUCACUAGUCGAGUCGGCCUGCGCGGAAGAUGUAACGGGGCUAAGCAAUACACCGAAGCUGCGGCAAUGUCUUUUAGACAUUGGGUAGGGGAGCGUUCUGUAAGCCGUUGAAGGUGAAUCGUAAGGUUUGCUGGAGGUAUCAGAAGUGCGAAUGCUGACAUGAGUAACGACAAAGGGGGUGAAAAACCUCCUCGCCGGAAGACCAAGGGUUCCUGUCCAACGUUAAUCGGGGCAGGGUGAGUCGACCCCUAAGGUGAGGCCGAAAGGCGUAAUCGAUGGGAAACGGGUUAAUAUUCCCGUACUUCUGACUAUUGCGAUGGGGGGACGGAGAAGGCUAGGUGGGCCAGGCGACGGUUGUCCUGGUUCAAGUGCGUAGGCUUGAGAGUUAGGUAAAUCCGGCUCUCUCUAAGGCUGAGACACGACGUCGAGCUACUACGGUAGUGAAGUCAUUGAUGCCAUGCUUCCAGGAAAAGCCUCUAAGCUUCAGAUAGUCAGGAAUCGUACCCCAAACCGACACAGGUGGUCGGGUAGAGAAUACCAAGGCGCUUGAGAGAACUCGGGUGAAGGAACUAGGCAAAAUGGUACCGUAACUUCGGGAGAAGGUACGCUCUUGAUGGUGAAGUCCCUCGCGGAUGGAGCUGACGAGAGUCGCAGAUACCAGGUGGCUGCAACUGUUUAUUAAAAACACAGCACUGUGCAAAAUCGCAAGAUGACGUAUACGGUGUGACGCCUGCCCGGUGCCGGAAGGUUAAUUGAUGGGGUUAGCGCAAGCGAAGCUCUUGAUCGAAGCCCCGGUAAACGGCGGCCGUAACUAUAACGGUCCUAAGGUAGCGAAAUUCCUUGUCGGGUAAGUUCCGACCUGCACGAAUGGCGUAAUGAUGGCCACGCUGUCUCCACCCGAGACUCAGUGAAAUUGAAAUCGCUGUGAAGAUGCAGUGUACCCGCGGCUAGACGGAAAGACCCCGUGAACCUUUACUACAGCUUGGCACUGAACAUUGAACCUACAUGUGUAGGAUAGGUGGGAGGCUAUGAAGACGUGACGCCAGUUGCGUUGGAGCCGUCCUUGAAAUA